GUCUGGUUAGCUCAGCUGGUUAGAGUGUGGUGCCAAUAACGCUAAGGUUGUGGGUUCAAUUCCCAUACUGGCCA